rnacentral:rRNA from 1 species
UUUAGAACGUCGUGAGACAGUUCGGUCCCUAUCUGCCGUGGACGUUUGAGAUUUGAGAGGGGCUGACCUUAGUACGAGAGGACCGGGUUGGACGAACCUCUGGUGUUCCGGUUGUCACGCCAGUGGCAUUGCCGGGUAGCUAUGUUCGGAAAAGAUAACCGCUGAAAGCAUCUAAGCGGGAAACUUGCCUCAAGAUGAGAUCUCACUGGAGCCUUGAGCUCCCUAAAGGGCCGUCGAAGACUACGACGUUGAUAGGUUGGGUGUGUAAGCGCUGUGAGGCGUUGAGCUAACCAAUACUAAUUGCCCGUGAGGCUUGACCAUA